rnacentral:rRNA from 1 species
GUAACACGUGGGCAACUUGCCCCCGGGUUGGGGAUAACACCUCUAACGAGGUGCUAAUACCGAAUGAUAUGGCGAGUUUAUGACUCGUUAUUAAAGAUGGCCUCUACUUGUAAGCUGUCGCCUGGGGAUGGGCCCGCGUCGUAUUAGCUUGUUGGUGGGGUAAUGGCCUACCAAGGCGACGAUGCGUAACCGGCCUGAGAGGGUGAACGGUCACACUGGCACUGAGACAAGGGCCAGUCUCCUACGGGAGCCAGCAGUCUAGAAAUUUGCACAAUCGUCGAAAGGCGGAUGCAGCGACACCACGUGGAGGAUGAAGCCGUUCGCGGUGUAAACUCCUGUCAGAAGGGAAGAAGGUGCGGCCGUUAAUACCGGUCGUUACUUGACGGUACCUUCAGAGGAAGCUCCGGCUAACUACGUGCCAGCAGCCGCGGUAAUACGUAGGGAGCGAGCGUUGUUCGGAUUUACUGGGCGUAAAGAGCAUGUAGGCGGGUAUGCAAGUCAGUUGUGAAAUCCUCUGGCUCAACCAGAGAACUGCAGCUGAAACUGCAUACCUUGAGUCCAACAGAGGGAAUCGGAAUCAAAGGUGUAGCGGUGAAAUGCGUAGAUAUCUUUGAGAACACCAGUGGCGAAGGCGGAUUUCUGGGUUGGCACUGACGCUGAGAUGCGAAAGCUAGGGGAGCGAACAGGAUUAGAUACCCUGGUAGUCCUAGCCGUAAACGAUGGGUACUAGGUGUUGGGGGACAUUGACCCCCUCAGUGCCGCAGCUAACGCAUUAAGUACCCCGCCUGGGGAGUACGGCCGCAAGGCUGAAACUCNAAGGAAUUGACGGGGACCCGCACAANCAGUGGAGCAUGUUGCUUAAUUCGAUGCAACGCGAAGAACCUUACCAGGGCUUGACAUCCGAGGAAUCUCCUGGAAACAGGAG